GCCCGAGUGGCGAAAUUGGUAGACGCAGCAGACUCAAAAUCUGCCGUUAGCGAUAAUGUGCCGGUUCGAGUCCGGCCUCGGGCA
rnacentral:tRNA from 1 species